CAAAAUAAAUUACUCAAGUUUUUGUUUUAAGCAGAUAAACAACAAAACCCAAAUUUAUAAUUUUAUUUAGACAGUACAAAUCAGGGCCAUAGAUGUGGCAAUGUCAACCCGUGGAGAGUACAAACAAAAUCAGGACAGCUAAAUAAUUAACUUUCAGAAACUUAAUAAGAUUAACUUAUAUGUGUGCUUUGAGAGGCAAUUAAAAAUGGGUGUAGAAAAGGCUACACAGACACUCAGAGCCAAAAAUGCAUUUAAGUGCUCAGCAAAAAGUGCAAAAUAUAAAACAUACAGGCAAAUAUAUACAAAAAUAUCAUAUGCAGUUAGUUUCAUAGUGCUAAUUGACACUGAGAUUACAUUUUUAUUACUGUGACAUUUUAUUUUUAGUGACUGAGCUAUAAUAGCGAGCAUUGCUAUAAAAGUUACAUUUUAAAUGAAGAAAAAAAGCCUUAAAAUAUACCAUAUAUAUCAUAAACCAUAUAAAAAAAACCUAUAAAUAUUUCUUAAUCGCAAAAACAUUUGUAUAUUUUUUCAAAAAUGUAAAUCCUUGGUGCCAAAUACAUUGCAAAUGCAUGUAUGCAUUGUUUUAAUGUGAAAAGUUAGAUAUUUCCUUUUUAGAGUGUGACGAUCUUCAGCUCAUUUAUCAUUUCAGCAUUUACAGCCCAUUAGCCAGACAUACAUAAUUAGUUACGGUAUGUACAGAGAGACAAAAGACAAAAAAAGGCAGACAGAUAUGUAAAAAUAAUAGUCACAGAAACAUACAUUUAUAGGAUGGAAAUAAAAAGUGAAAACAUAGUUCCCAUAGACGCUGACAACUCCAUUCUAUUUUACUUUAUUGCAUAUUAAUUUUACACAAUUGUGCCUGCUUGUCCAUUAUUAUCGUGACUCAUUAGCAACACAACAGUGUCUCCCUGUAUCCCCCUACUGCAGCCCCCUUCACACUGGCUAUUCUGCAUUUAUAAAAGUCUGCAGAUAAUGCAUUAGAUGUGUUUACUGGAUGUAUCCAACGCAUAUAUAAUAUGCAUGUGUGUGGAUAAAUACACAGCUCAUUGGGAUAUGGGAAUUGAACAAUGCAUGUUUUUCUCUUUUCACUUUUUCAUGUUGUACCGUGUGAAUCGUUACUUCUUAUUCAUUAACACCCAUCACAGCUAGCCGUCACCCUUCAGUCCCUUUUCGUUCAGAGAUACAAUGUGGAGCAUAAGAAAAUAACAAAUGAAAAAAGUAUCCAUGGCAACAACAGUACAGCAAGUUCUCUUUUUUGCAGCUUUUAGUUCAAAUGUAAUUCUCUGAAGUUAAACAGCAACUGCUCAUAACAUCCAAGGUCUUUAAAGAGAGAUUGUGUCUGUCGCCUUUGUGAGCAAAAUGUGCAGAAUCUGUUCAGUAGUUUAAAAAAAAAUCCACUCAAGGAUUUCAGUUUUUGUCGUCUUCUCCUUUAUAUGAUGAAGCAUAAAAGAGCGAAGUUAUCCGUCAUCAGGAAACAACAGCAGCAAAAAGGAGACACAUGAAGGAAACAGAGGUUGACGGAGAUAUAAAAGAGGCUCCUCCACAGUCAUCGGCGUUCUCCUGCAGAGACAAAGCAGAAAAUGAUUUCACCUGGCGAGUCUUCAAUUUGCUACCAAGCAUUGACGAAAAUGUGAUGUAUUCAAACAGAAAAUCAUUUUAGGGCCACAGAAGCAGUUGAGUAAGACGAGAGAAGAAUGCUGGUUUUAUGCAUGCAUGUUUAAACACAUGUACAACCCAAUUUUCAAAAACACAAAGAUGCUCUGAAAAGGUAAAUUAAAACUAGUACAAAGACAAAAUAUUGAAUAUUGAAUGAAAUAAAGUAAUGUGCAAAAGUCUUGAGUCAGGAAACUGGGAAGGCCUUUGCUUAUGACCACUUAAAAAAUUACAACAGUC
ensembl:lncRNA